rnacentral:lncRNA from 1 species
UGACCCUUCAGGAAUUCCCAGUUCUCCCGAGUUGUCUCUUCAGGUCCCAUAUUCUUCCAGUGUCCUAAGGCCCGUUCAACCUGCUUGCCUCUAAGAAACAUACUUCUUUUCUGCAGUAUUUGCUCAGGCUCAACUAUAAUUUGGCCCUGAGAAUCCACAGUAGACAAUGGGCGUUAAUAGUUAUGAAAUUUCCUUCAUAUUUCUUGAGCAUGGAUACAUGGAAGACUGGAUAUAUCCGUGCAUCCAGGGGUAGCUUCAGUAGGUAAGCUAUUGUGCUGACCUUCUUUUCCUCCUUAAAGGGCCCAUAAUACUUGAGGUGCCAAUUUAAGGCACCUUCUCACAACUAUGGAAGACUGGCAGUAGGGCCUGCAGCUUUUUGUUUUUUUCAAAUAAAAGGAAAGUAUUAUUAUGCACAAGGUAUCAAGAGGGUACCACCUAUAUACAAAAUAGUUACAUGUCAAUCAAAUGGUUCAUUACCAAAGUUUUCCCAAUCUUUGAUGUCAUGACCGAACAAAAUAGAGGCAAAAAUAUGAAUCCAUCUACCUUUAAUUCUGGUAAAGUUAGUCUCUAUAUCCUCAAAAGGUCUCUCAUUUCUUUCCUUCCAUACCACCCAAAAAAUAAUAAGUAGAAUAAGAAAUAAAUGUCUUUUUUUUAUAUAAAAACUCACCCGUUGCCACAACUCAUUUCUCACACUACCAGCCAUAAUCCAAUUUAACCCUAACAACCCAAAAACAGAGGUUCAUAUGCUGUAUGUCACUGGGCAAGAUAAUAAUAAAUGGUUGCAUGUUUCCUCAUCAUCAUGACAUAGUAACAUCUACUAACCAGAAAAUUCCUCUUCCUUUUUAGCAUGUCAAUAGUAAAAAUACAUUCAUUGACUACUUCCCAAGCAAAAAAAGCCAUUCUAGGAGGGGCUUUAGACUUCCUAAUCUUCUUAUAUGGUGCUGACUUGCUGUCACUGUUGUCACUCUUAGUGAGAAAGCUAUACAAAAACUUCACCGAGAAACCUUUCUUCUCAUCCAGCUUCCAAAGCCUUUUGUCUAUAUCAUUAUUCAAUUUCAUGUCAUUCAGGAACAAAAGCGGACUGCUAUACUCAUCUAUUUCCCAAUCUUGUAGAUUUCUCUUCACAUUCACAUCCCACACCCUUCACUCCCCCACAUUUUCGUACAUC